rnacentral:rRNA from 1 species
GACGACCGCUGGCGGCGUGCUUAACACAUGCAAGUCGAACGGAAAGGCCCUGCUUUUGUGGGGUGCUCGAGUGGCGAACGGGUGAGUAACACGUGAGUAGCCUGCCCUUGACUUUGGGAUAACUUCAGGAAACUGGGGCUAAUACCGGAUAGGAGCUCCUGCUGCAUGGUGGGGGUUGGAAAGUUUCGGCGGUUGGGGAUGGACUCGCGGCUUAUCAGCUUGUUGGUGGGGUAGUGGCUUACCAAGGCUUUGACGGGUAGCCGGCCUGAGAGGGUGACCGGCCACAUUGGGACUGAGAUACGGCCCAGACUCCUACGGGAGGCAGCAGUGGGGAAUAUUGCACAAUGGGCGGAAGCCUGAUGCAGCAACGCCGCGUGCGGGAUGACGGCCUUCGGGUUGUAAACCGCUUUCGCCUGUGACGAAGCGUGAGUGACGGUAAUGGGUAAAGAAGCACCGGCUAACUACGUG